rnacentral:rRNA from 1 species
UACGAAGGGGGCUAGCGUUGCUCGGAAUCACUGGGCGUAAAGGGUGCGUAGGCGGGUCUUUAAGUCAGGGGUGAAAUCCUGGAGCUCAACUCCAGAACUGCCUUUGAUACUGAGAAGCUUGAGUCCGGGAGAGGUGAGUGGAACUGCGAGUGUAGAGGUGAAAUUCGUAGAUAUUCGCAAGAACACCAGUGGCGAAGGCGGCUCACUGGCCCGGUACUGACGCUGAGGUGCGAAAGCGUGGGGAGCAAAAGGG